rnacentral:tRNA from 1 species
GGGAAGAUACCCGAGUGGCCAAAGGGGACGGGCUGUAAACCCGUUGCGAUUCGCUUCGAAGGUUCGAAUCCUUCUCUUCCCA